AUUGAACGCUGGCGGCAGGCCUAACACAUGCAAGUCGAGCGGAUGAAGGGAGCUUGCUCCUGGAUUCAGCGGCGGACGGGUGAGUAAUGCCUAGGAAUCUGCCUGGUAGUGGGGGAUAACGUCCGGAAACGGGCGCUAAUACCGCAUACGUCCUGAGGGAGAAAGUGGGGGAUCUUCGGACCUCACGCUAUCAGAUGAGCCUAGGUCGGAUUAGCUAGUUGGUGGGGUAAAGGCCUACCAAGGCGACGAUCCGUAACUGGUCUGAGAGGAUGAUCAGUCACACUGGAAGUGAGACAAGGUCCAGACUCCUACGGGACGCAGCAGUGGGGAAUAUUGGACAAUGGGGGAAAGCAUGAUCCAGCCAUGCCGAGUGUGUGAAGAAGGUCUUCGGAUUGUAAAGCACUCUAAGUUGGGAGGAAGGGCAGUAAGUUAAUACCUUGCUGUUUUGACGUUACCAACAGAAUAAGCACCGGCUAACUUCGUG
rnacentral:rRNA from 1 species